UACGUAGGGGGCGAGCGUUGUCCGGAAUCAUUGGGCGUAAAGAGCGUGUAGGCGGCCAGGUAGGUCUGCUGUGAAAACUCGAGGCUCAACCUCGAGACGUCGGCGGAAACCAUCUGGCUAGAGUCCGGAAGAGGAGAGUGGAAUUCCUGGUGUAGCGGUGAAAUGCGCAGAUAUCAGGAAGAACACCCGUGGCGAAGGCGGCUCUCUGGGACGGUACUGACGCUGAGACGCGAAAGCGUGGGGAGCGAACAGG
rnacentral:rRNA from 1 species